GAUGAACGCUAGCGGCAGGCUUAAUACAUGCAAGUCGUGGGGCAGCAGGGGUGUAGCAAUACAUCUGCUGGCGACCGGCAAACGGGUGCGUAACACGUACGCAACCUUCCCGUUACUGUGGCAUAGCCCAGGGAAACUUGGAUUAAUACCACAUAUUAUAUUGAGGGGGCAUCCCUUUGAUAUCAAAGCUUCGGCGGUAACGGAUGGGCGUGCGGUUGAUUAGGUAGUUGGCGGGGUAACGGCCCACCAAGCCUACGAUCAAUAGCUGAUGUGAGAGCAUGGUCAGCCACACGGGCACUGAGACACGGGCCCGACUCCUACGGGAGGCAGCAGUAAGGAAUAUUGGGCAAUGGACGAAAGUCUGACCCAGCCAUGCCGCGUGAAGGAUUAAGGUCCUCUGGAUUGUAAACUUCUUUUCUCUGGGGCGAAAACCAGCUAUUCUUAGCUAUUUGACAGUACCAGAGGAAUAAGCACCGGCUAACUCCGUGCCAGCAGCCGCAGUAACAC
rnacentral:rRNA from 1 species